UACGUAGGAUGCGAGCGUUGUCCGGAAUUACUGGGCGUAAAGGGCUCGUAGGCGGCCAACUAAGUCAGACGUGAAAUCCCUCGGCUUAACCGGGGAACUGCAUCUGAUACUGGAUGGCUUGAGUUCGGGAGAGGGAUGCGGAAUUCCAGGUGUAGCGGUGAAAUGCGUAGAUAUCUGGAGGAACACCGGUGGCGAAGGCGGCAUCCUGGACCGACACUGACGCUGAGGAGCGAAAGCCAGGGGAGCAAACGGG
rnacentral:rRNA from 1 species